CCUACGGGUGGCAGCAGUGGGGAAUAUUGCACAAUGGGGGAAACCCUGAUGCAGCGACGCCGCGUGAGUGAAGAAGUAAUUCGUUAUGUAAAGCUCUAUCAGCAGGGAAGAAAAUGACGGUCCCUGAGUAAGAAGCCCCGGCUAAUUACGUGCCAGCAGCCGCGGUAAUACGUAGGGGGCAAGAGUUAUCCGGAUUUACUGGGUGUAAAGGGAGCGUAGUCGGCAGUGCAAGUCUGGAGUGAAAGGCGGGGGUUCAACACCCGGACUGCUUUUGAAACUGUACGGCUAGAGUGCAGGAGAGGUAAGUGGAAUUCCUAGUGUAGCGGUGAAAUGCAUAGAUAUUAGGAGGAACACCAGUGGCGAAGGCGGCUUACUGGACUGUAACUGACGUUGAGGCUCGAAAGCGUGGGGAGCAAACAGGAUUAGAUACCCCGGUAGUC
rnacentral:rRNA from 1 species